rnacentral:misc_RNA from 1 species
GAAAUGUGAUAAGUAAUGUGAAUUGCAGAAUUCCGUGAAUCAUCGAAUCUUUGAACGCACAUUGCGCCCUCUGGCAUUCCGGGGGGGAUGCCUGUCCGAGCGUCAUUACGCACCCUCAAGCCCGGCUUGUGUGAUGGGCCCCGGCGUCUCGUUCGCGAGACGGGCCCGAAAGGCAGCGGCGGCGUCGACCCGAUGAGCCCGAGCGUAUGGGGACUUCUGUCACACGUUCGCGGUGCGGACCGGCGCCUGCUUGACUUUUAAUUUCUAGGUUGACCUCGGAUCAGGUAGGGAUACCCGCUGAACUUAAGC